GGGCGGUUAGCUCAGCUGGUAGAGCAGGUGCUUUACACGCAUCAGGUCGGCGGUUCGAACCCGUCACCGCCCACCA
rnacentral:tRNA from 1 species